rnacentral:rRNA from 1 species
GGCGGACGGGUGAGGAAUACAUCGGAAUCUACUCUGUCGUGGGGGAGUAACGUAGGGAAACUUACGCUAAUACCGCAUACGACCUACGGGUGAAGCAGGGGAUCUUCGGACCUUGCGCGAUUGAAUGAGCCGAUGUCGGAUUAGCUAGUUGGCGGGGUAAAGGCCCACCGAGGCGACGAUCCGUAGCUGGUCUGAGAGGAUGAUCAGUCACACUGGAACUGAGACACGGUCCAGACUCCUACGGGAGGCAGCAGUA